rnacentral:rRNA from 1 species
UAUAAAUGUAUUUUGUUAUAUUAAUUAAUUAAUAGUUAUGAUCUUUAAAAAUAAAUAAUUUGGCGGUAUUUUAGUCUUUUCAGAGGAACCUGUUUUAUAAGUGAUAAUCCACAGUUAGAUCGUCUUAUAUUAGAAAUUUAUAUAUCAUCGUUAUUAAAUAUUUUUAUAGAAUUUAAUAUUUAUAAAAUAAAAUUUUAUUUUAAUUCAGAUCAUGGUAUAGUUAAUAUAUAAGUAAUAAUGGGUUACAUUAUUUAAAAAUUUUGAUUUUAAAUUUUAAAUUUAAAUGAAAUUGGAUUUGAAAGUAAUUAUUUUUUAAAAAUGAUGAUUUAGCUCUAAAAUAUGU